rnacentral:rRNA from 1 species
GUGAGGAAUAUUGGACAAUGGGCGCAAGCCUGAUCCAGCCAUGCCGCGUGCAGGAAGAAGCAUCUAUGGUGUGUAAACUGCUUUUGUACGGGAAGAAACACUCCUUCGUGAAGGAGCUUGACGGUACCGUAAGAAUAAGGAUCGGCUAACUCCGUGCCAGCAGCCGCGGUAAUACGGAGGAUCCAAGCGUUAUCCGGAAUCAUUGGGUUUAAAGGGUCCGUAGGCGGUUUGGUAAGUCAGUGGUGAAAGCCCGCAGCUCAACUGUGGAACGGCCAUUGAUACUGCCAGACUUGAAUUACAAGGAAGUGACUAGAAUAUGUAGUGUAGCGGUGAAAUGCUUAGAUAUUACAUGGAAUACCAAUUGCGAAGGCAGGUUACUACUUGUGGAUUGACGCUGAUGGACGAAAGCGUGGGGAGCGAACAGGAUUAGAAACCCUAGUAGUCC